CUGCUGCCUUCCGUAGGAGUUUGGACCGUGUCUCAGUUCCAAUGUGGGGGACCUUCCUCUCAGAACCCCCUACGCAUCGUCGGCUUGGUGGGCCGUUGCCCCCACCAACUACCUAAUGCGCCGCAUGCCCAUCCGUGACCGGGGUCGCCCCUUUGGCCGGCAGGGGAUGUCCCCUCCCGGCAUUAUGUUGUAUUAGGCGGGAUUUCUCCCGGUUAUCCAUCUGUCACGGCCAGGUUGCAUACGUGUUACUCACCCGUGCGCCGGUCGCCGGCGG
rnacentral:rRNA from 1 species